AUUGAACGCUGGCGGCAGGCUUAACACAUGCAAGUCGAGCGGGGUGAUGGUGCUUGCACUAUCACUUAGCGGCGGACGGGUGAGUAAUGCUUAGGAAUCUGCCUAUUAGUGGGGGACAACAUCUCGAAAGGGAUGCUAAUACCGCAUACGUCCUACGGGAGAAAGCAGGGGAACACUUGUGACCUUGCGCUAAUAGAUGAGCCUAAGUCGGAUUAGCUAGUUGGUGGGGUAAAGGCCUACCAAGGCGACGAUCUGUAGCGGGUCUGAGAGGAUGAUCCGCCACACUGGGACUGAGACACGGCCCAGACUCCUACGGGAGGCAGCAGUGGGGAAUAUUGCACAAUGGGGGAAACCCUGAUGCAGCAACGCCGCGUGAGUGAAGAAGGCCCUUGGGUUGUAAAGCUCUUUAGCGUGGGAAGAAGGUAGAUAUGGUGAAUAAUCAUGUUUGCUGACGGUACCACGAGAAUAAGCACCGGCUAAUUUCGUGCCAGCCGCCGCGGUAA
rnacentral:rRNA from 1 species